rnacentral:rRNA from 1 species
UACGAAGGGGGCUAGCGUUGUUCGGAAUCACUGGGCGUAAAGCGCACGUAGGCGGACUUUUAAGUCAGGGGUGAAAUCCCGGGGCUCAACCUCGGAACUGCCUUUGAUACUGGAAGUCUUGAGUCCGAGAGAGGUGAGUGGAACUCCGAGUGUAGAGGUGAAAUUCGUAGAUAUUCGGAAGAACACCAGUGGCGAAGGCGGCUCACUGGCUCGGUACUGACGCUGAGGUGCGAAAGCGUGGGGAGCAAACAGGAUUAGAAACCCUAGUAGUCC